rnacentral:rRNA from 1 species
UACAGAGGUGCCGAGCGUUAGGCGGAAUCACUGGGCUUAAAGCGUGUGUAGGCGGACUUCUAAGUACCUUGUGAAAUCCCACGGCUUACCCGUGGAACUGCUGGGUAUACUGGUCGUCUUGAGCCACCUAGGGGCCAGCGGAACAAAUGGUGGAGCGGUGAAAUGCGUAGAUAUCGUCUGGAACGCCGAAGGUGAAAACAGCUCGCUGGGGCUGCGCUGACGCUGAGACACGAAAGCCAGGGGAGCGAACGGG